rnacentral:rRNA from 1 species
AGCGAACGCUGGCGGCAGGCCUAACACAUGCAAGUCGAACGAACUCUUCGGAGUUAGUGGCGGACGGGUGAGUAACACGUGGGAACGUGCCUUUUGGUUCGGAAUAACUCAGGGAAACUUGUGCUAAUACCGAAUGUGCCCUUCGGGGGAAAGAUUUAUCGCCAUUAGAGCGGCCCGCGUCUGAUUAGCUAGUUGGUGAGGUAACGGCUCACCAAGGCGACGAUCGGUAGCUGGUCUGAGAGGAUGACCAGCCACACUGGGACUGAGACACGGCCCAGACUCCUACGGGAGGCAGCAGCGGGGAAUCUUGCGCAAUGGGCGAAAGCCUGACGCAGCCAUGCCGCAUGAAUGAUGAAGGUCUUAGGAUUGUAAAAUUCUUUCACCGGGGACGAUAAUGACGGUACCCGGAGAAGAAGCCCCGGCUAACUUCGUG